AGUAGGUUAGCACCCUACCCACUUUUUACUUUACCUAAAUACCCUUACUCUUUUUUACCUUAGUAUUAAAAUUAAGGGCGUUUCGUCAUUUCAUCAAAACUCAAUUCAUUUUCUCUCCGCGCCCAAAGCAGCCAUUGAAUCUGGCGGGAUAAGAACCACCAGGCUGUGAUUUUUCUCUAUGAUUUGAAGGUUUGAUUCGGUUUGCAGUAUCAUCUAUUGGAACAAGCCAAGCAUAAACUCAUACAAGAUCAAUAGUGAUGGAAGCCACAAGAAGAAACUCCAGUGGAGGAGACGGAAUUGUCAGGAUCCGCCAAGAAAGAAUGAUCAUGGCAUACUCAGUAAACUUUAGCAAUGGAUCCAACAAUCUAGGAGAAGCUAAGGAUAUGUUUUUUGGGAUCAAAUGGUGCAUUCAGAAUGGCUUCUACAACCUCAUCCUUGAAAGUGACUUCAUGUUACUCCAAGCUUCGAUAAAGAAGUUUUUAAAAUUUGCUUGCAAAUCUACUCAAUAAUCAGGGAGAUUAAGACAUUUUUUGACUGGAACUACCUGGAACAUUCAAGAUUGCUAUAGGGAGGCCAACAAAGUAGCUGACAAACUUGCGACUCUAAGUCACUCAACUCAGAACCCCAAGAUAUACAACUCUUUCGAAGAACUCUCAAGACAAGUGAAAGGACUUGUAAACAUGGAUAAAUGGGGAUAUUCUAACUUUCGAGUUAGGAACAAAAAGAUCAAUGAAAUCAAGUUUCCUGGUGUGAUACGUCAUGUAUAGACUGACCCUCAUCUUUUGGGCCCUUAACAGUGGUCAUGAGAGUCUAGCUCUCAGUAAAUGUAUAAAGCCUUAUGGUCUUAAUUUUUGUGCAUAUCUCAAGACUAGUUCUUGUAGAAAAUAUCGUAAAGCAAUGGACUUGUCCAUUGACUUAGAAACUGUUUAAGAGGUUAGGCUAAUUAUACUUCAA